UCCCUAGUAGCUCAAUGGUAGAGCCGUCGGCUGUUAACCGAAAGGUUGCAGGUUCAAUACCUGUCUAGGGAG
rnacentral:tRNA from 1 species